rnacentral:rRNA from 1 species
UUGGCCCGCCUUAAAUCAGUUGUUACUUAAUAUACACAUGCAAGUAUCAGCACCCCUGGAGAACGCCCUUAAAUCCCAAUUGGGAUAAGGAGCUGGUAUCGGCCUUUUCCCGCCCAAGACACCUAGCCACGCCACACCUCAAGGAAUCAGCAGUGAUAAACAUUGACAAUAAGCGACAGCUUGACCCAGUUAAAGUAAAAAGAGCCGGCUAAUCUGGUGCCAGCCGCCGCGUACACCACGUGGCUCAAAUGAUUUUAUCGGCGUAAAGCGUGAUUAAAGUUCUCUUAAUUUGAGUAAAAACUAAGCGUGACACGCUUGUUAGAACCAAAACGAAAGUACCCAACACUUGAAUCAGGACAGCUGAAACAAACUGGGAUUAGAUACCCCACUAUGCUAGCCGUAAACUUUAAUACAUCCAUCGCCGGGAACUACGAGCAAAGCUUAAAACCCAAAGGACUUGACGGUACCCCAACCACUAGAGGAGCCUGUCCUAUAACGAUAACCCCGUUAACCUCACCCCUUUAGCCUAUCAGCCUGUAUACCUCCGUCGUCAGCUUAACCACGUGAGCGCAUCUUAUGAGCUUAAUGUCCACACGCCAAAACGUCAGGUCAAGGUGCAGCACAUAGGGGGGAAGAGAUGGGCUACACUCUCUAAUUUAAAUACCGAAUGACUAUUAUGAAAACUAGUCUAAAGCGGAUUAGAAGUAAAAAGAAACCACAGUGUUCUUUU